UUUCCGUAGGUGAACCUGCGGAAGGAUCAUUAGUGUAUAACCGAGGCUCGAGUGCUGCCGCUGACCCGUAUGAUCGUGCACGCACGAUUGCCACCACAAACAUCCACCUCACCCCUAUGUGCACCACCGGGUGUGUCCCCCUUUGGCUCGUUCGGAGGGGGGCUUACGUUUUCACACAAUCUUUGUAUGAAGUGUAGAAUGUAUUUUUUGUUUUCGCGAUCACGCAAUCAAUACAACUUUCAACAACGGAUCUCUUGGCUCUG
rnacentral:misc_RNA from 1 species